rnacentral:rRNA from 1 species
GCCUCCCUCAAGAUGAGUUUUCCCAUGAAGCCCGUUGAAGACUACGACGUUGAUAGGCGAGGUGUGGAAGCGUAGUAAUGCGUGAAGCUMACUCGUACUAAUUGGCUGAUUGUCUUGACCAUAUAACCUGAAUGACUUCGGGU